rnacentral:rRNA from 1 species
UGACGUCUUGACGAGUAGGUGUGCGUGGAGGUUGCAGAGAGCUUCCCGUGAGGGGGAGUGUAGCAGCCUUUAGUGCAGAUCUUGGUGGUAGUAGCAAAUAUUCAAGUGAGAACCUUGAAGGCCGAAGUGGAGAAAGGUUUCGCGAGAACAGCAUUUGAUCGCGAGUCAGUCGAUCCUGAGGCACAGAUUAACCUCGUGAACAGCAUAAUUGGAGCCAAGGGGGGCAACUCUCUUGGUUCUAUUUCAAGUUAUGCUUAUUAUGCCGAAAGGGGAAUCAGGGUUAAUAUUCCUGAACCUGGACUUGGAUAGCUUACGGUAACGUAAUUGAACCUGGAGACAGUGGCCAUUGCCCUAGGAAGAGUUCUCUUUUCUUUUUAACGGCUCAUCUUAGUCACUAUUAGUAACCUUUCGGUUGCUAGUGGUAGACAGCCCUGGAAUCGCGUCAUGCGGAGAUAGGGCUGGAAAGUCGGAAGAGC